ACCAAUGGUCAUAUCUUUGGCAUCAUCAUGCUGGACUUUAUCCUGAAGGACAAGCAAAUAAGGAUCAUCAUACUGGUACUCUCUGAUGCGAUCAUAUAAAGAAGACUCAUAAAUCACAUAAGGCAAUACCUAACUGGGCUCCAAAAUUUCUAACCUCAUAAACCGAUUGAAAAUCCUGAACAUCAACUAGAAAAGGUCUCCUCCAACUGGAAUAUAUGCCAAAUUCCCCAUACUCAACAUUCAGCUCAAAGCCUCGGCCACCACAUUCUUCUUCCCCAAAUGGUACAAAAUUGUAAUAUCAUAAUCCUUUAAAAACUCCAACCAUCUUUGCCGCCUCAAAUUAAGAUCCUUCUACUUGAAGAACUGCUGGAGGAUACAAUGAUCAGUAAACACCUCACAAGACACACCGUACAAAUAAUGCCUUCAAAUCUUAACCAUGUGAACAAUGGCAGCCAACUUCAAAUCAUGAACAGGGUAGCUCUUCUCAUGGGGUCUCAACUAACGAGAAGCAUAAGCAAUAACUCUACCCUUAUGCAUCAAAACACACCCAACACCAACUCUCAAAAGUUGAUGGCAUACUAACACUAGAGCUUUGGUCAAGUAUUCUUCAGCAUCUGAAAUCUCUCCACACACUCAUCUGACCUUACAAAUGAAGCACCUUUCCCAGUCAACUUCGUCAAGGGUGAUGGGAUAGAUGAAAAUCCCUGAGAAAAUCGCAAUUAUAACCCGCCAAACCAAGAAAAUUGUUAAUCUUUAUAGCUGAGGAUGGUUUGGGCCAACUCUAAACUGCCUCUAGCUUCUUUGGAUCAAUCUGAAAACCCUCACUAGACACCACGUUCCGUAAGAAAUCCACUGAACCUAUCCAAAACUCAGACUUGGAGAACUUUGCAUAAAGCUUCUCCUCCCGCAAUCUCUACAACAUAACCCUCCAAUACUCUGUGUGCUCCUACUGACUACGCGAGCAUACCAAAAUAUCAUCAAUGUAGACUAUGACAAAUGAGUCGAGAUACGGCCAGAACACGUUGUUCAUCAAAUGCAUGAACGGUGUUAGGGCAUUGGUCAGCCCAGAAGACAUUACCAAGAACACAUAAUGCCCAUACAUGGUCUUGAAAACUGUCUUAAGAAUAUCCGAGUCCCUGAUCUUCAGAUAGUGAUAACCUAAAUGGAGAUCAAUCUUAAAACUCUUCCUCCCUGAAGUAGGUCAAACAAAUAAUCGAUACGAGGAAAAGGUUACUUAUUCUUAAUUGUUACUUUGUUCAACUGCCUGUACGAAAUGCACAUCCUCACAUUGCUAUCCUUUUUCUUAACAAAUAGAACCGGUGCACCCCAAGGUGACAUACUAGGCCGAAUGAAGCCAUUAUCAAGGAGUUCAUAAAGAUCCUCUUUUAGCUCCUUCACCUACACCGAUUACAUACGAUAUGGAAAAAUUUAAAUGCGUUGAGUGUCCAGCACCAGAUCAAUACCAAAAUCAAUAUCCCUCUCAGGUAGCAUGCCCCGCAGGCCUGCAAGAAACAUAUCGGGGAAAUCCCUCACAAUUGAAACAAAAUGAAAAUUAGGAGUCUCGGCACAAAUAUCUAUCGCAAAGGCUAGAUAUGACAGACAACCUUUCCCAACCAUACGGUUGGCCUUCAAGAAUGAGAUUACCCUACUGGGAACAUAAUCAAUCGAACCUCGCUAUUCAAUCUAUGGCCGCCUGGCAUAGCCAAAGUCACUGUCUUAGCAUGAUAGUCCAAAAUUGCACGACAUGGAGAUAACCAAUCCAUGCCCAAAAAAACAUCAAAGUCUACCAUACAUAAUAACAAUAGAUCCACUCGGGUCUUACGACCCCCAAUAGUCACCACAUAUGACCGGUACACAGAGUCUAUGACAACAGUAUCACCCACCAAAGUAAAUACAUGAACAAAUGAAAUAAAGACUCACGGGGCAUAUCCAAAUAAGGAGAAUAGUAUGAUGACACAUAAGAAUAAGUGGAAUUGGGAUUAAAUAAAAUAGAGGCAUCUCUACGGCAGACUAAAAUAAUAUCUAUAGUAAACGAAUCGGAAGCAAUUGCAUCGGAUCUCACUGGAAGUACAUAAAAACUGGCCUGACUGCAACCUGAUCAACCUCCCCCUAUAGGGCGACCCCCACCUGACUAACCCAUACCCAAGCUGGGUAGGUGGGUGGUGAUGAAGCAACUGGUGCUGAAGCUGAUGGAUGACCCCUCUGGUGAGAUGAACCCCCAAGAUGACGAGGACACUACCUCCACAUAUUUCCCAUCUCUCCACACUCAUAGUAACUCCCAUGUGCUAGAGACGGGGACUGAAGGGAAUCUCUAGCACCGGAAUGACUAGCAGAUGCACCCGGCAUAGAAGAGCCCAGAACUUAUGGAGCACAAGACGAACGUUGAGGUGGAAGGGAACUAAGAGAUGACUGGCCCUACCGAGAACUGUAAGAACCAUGACCCGAUGACACCCACAAUAACGUGGGUGAGCUGACUAAGCAUUCCUAAAUUUACAGCCUCUGUUGUGAAACUAACCUCUCGUAGGAACACAACUAUAACUGCCACAUCCCCGAGGUAUUUCGGCCUCUUUCUCAUCUUGCUCCUGGUGACAAAUGUAGGACCAAACACCCUCUCCCUUGUCUUGAGGAUACGAAGCUGAUAAGUGAGGCAAUCAACGAACCUCCUAAUCCUCUCUCUAUCUGUCAGAACCAAUCAAAUAGGAUGAGGGGCUAACUCUAACAACCUUAUCUCAUACUGCAUCACAAUCAUCUCUCCUUGACACAACAACUCAAACUGCCUGCGUAGCUCCUUUAUAUGAGACUGGAGCACAUACUUCUCCAAAAAGAGAACGAAGAACUGUUGCCGGGUAAGGGGUGUUGCACCAACAUGUCAGCACUUCCCAUGAAGUGAAACAUCUCAAGAAAAAUGAAAAUUAGCGAAAGCAACCUUGCUGGUCUCCAGAGUACCAGCUGAGUGAAGAAUCUACUGGCACCCUUUAAAGAAACCCUAGGCAUCCUCACCCUCUGCUUCACAAAAGGUUAGAGGUUGAAGUCUACCAAACCUAUACAACCUGCGCUGCUCAUCCUCUAGAAUGGCAGGAGCUAAAGAGUCCUGAGCAGCUAUAACCGUCUGGGCUAGAUGUGCUCGUGGUGUCUGAAGUCCCUACACAACCUACUCAGGUGUGCGAGUAUAAAUAUAAUCUGAUCCAAGGACUCAUGAAGGCUCAGAAUAACUAUGGGCACAGUUGGUGACUAAGUUGAUACUAUUAGAACGUUCACAACUGGGACUUGAUCCUAAACUGGGGCAGCUGAUAGAUCUGCAGUUGUCGCCCUAGAUGUAGUAUAGGUCACACCCCUGCCUCUACCGUGACCAAGACUGCAUCCUUUGUUCUAGUAGCCACAACUGAUGAUACUGGUAGCGUUCAUCUUUACAGAUAGCGGAUGUCCUAACCAUUUGUGAGACAAUAGACUAACAAAAAUUUAGUACUCGGACCAAUAGAUUCACACGACAAGAAUUUCAAGAAUAUAAAGUUUUUCCUAAAGGUUCUUUGGCCUCUCGAGGAUAAAUACAGACGUCUCUGAACCAAUCCACAAGACUUUACUAAGCCUGCUCAUGACUUGUGAGACCUAUGUAACAUAGGACCUAAUACCAACUUGUCGAGACCCUAAUCUAGGACCUGAUCAUGAUGACGCCUCUCGUGAACACAAGGUCAGCCGACACACUUCUAAUUAUUUUUUUAGCAAUUAAGAUAAUAAAUAUUAAGUCAUAAACAUAAUAAUAUUCCAAAAUAAGGUGAAUACUAUAGUUUCGGAAAAGACAUAGCUCGACAUCAGGGUGUCACCAGUAAUGAGCAUUUACAAUCCAAAUAAAGACAAGGAAAAUGUACGUAGUCUACUAUCGAGUUAAAACAUGGAAAAUAAGAUAAGGGAAGAAGAUUUAGCCUGCGGAAGCCGAUAGCUACCAAGAGAAUGUAUUCGCCUGAGCUGGAAGGAUCAACACUCAUUAACGGGACCUAAAGCAUCGGAUGUGAGCAUAUGAUUUUUACCCGGUCAAAACAAGCUCCUACACGACUGUUAAAGUUUAGGAUUUUUCAUUAAUAAUAUUAGAAUUUUAAUUUUUUGGAUUUAAUUGCAUGCGUAUGUUCAUUAGUACAUGUUUAAGAUUAAUUAGGAUUUAAUUGUUAAAUAAAUUUGUUUUAAGAAUUAAAAUACAAAAAAUAUAUACAUGUCCGGCAUUUGAAAUUAUUUUGUGUUUAUUUUCGACUUAGUGUAGGUUUUAUUUGUGAUAAUUAGGAAUUUGAGGUGGUAAAUAAAGUGAGAAUUGUUUUUUAAAUUAAAAGAAUAAAGUAAAAAAUAUAUGUGUGUGUAUAUAUACACAGCCACUCAGGCUGGCCACAAUUGGGCCAGACCUGAGUGGCCCAAACCNNNNNNNNNNNNNNNNNNNNNNNNNNNNNNNNNNNNNNNNNNNNNNNNNNNNNNNNNNNNNNNNNNNNNNNNNNNNNNNNNNNNNNNNNNNNNNNNNNNNNNNNNNNNNNNNNNNNNNNNNNNNNNNNNNNNNNNNNNNNNNNNNNNNNNNNNNNNNNNNNNNNNNNNNNNNNNNNNNNNNNNNNNNNNNNNNNNNNNNNNNNNNNNNNNNNNNNNNNNNNNNNNNNNNNNNNNNNNNNNNUGUGUAUAUAUAUAUAUAUAUAUAUAUAUAUGUGUGUGUAUAUAUAUAUAUAUGUGUGUGUGUGUAUAUAUAUAUAUAUAUAUAUGUGUGUGUGUGUGUCCAAGAGUCUCUUAUACAGAUAGAAACAAAACCCGCCUUCCUUCCUCGUACCGUUUUCUGUUUUAACACCUCCAUUGACCACCCCACUACUACCGGCAGCGGCCGACAACCAAACCUUCCCAUAUGUACACCACUCAACCGUCAUGACCUCCUCUUUCCAACCCUGUAAUUAUUUCCUAUUGAACAUGCCCCCUCCGUCUCGAAUAUUUAAAAACAGGGUCAUCGAAACCACUAUCUCCGGCGACCUUGUUCCAAACCCUUCCACCCUUACACCAUAGAACCACUAGGACACCCCCUUUCUCGUCAUGCAUCCCACUCCCUUAGAAUCCCCCUCCCCCCCCCCCCCCCAUCCCACUCCCUUCGAAUCCCCCAUCCCCCCAUCAUCUCAAAUAUUCUCCGAAAGGUCGUCGGAAACCAUAUCUCCGGCGACCUUGUUCGAAAGCCCUCCAUACUUACACCGCUAACGAACCUCAAUCUCCUCGUUCCAACCGUGUAGGUCACCCCUCUCAAAUCUGCCUGAAACCCUUUGAAUAUCAAUUCAAAUCCUAACCCUAAAUCUUAAAACCCGCCACAAAAUGGCUCAAACUCCUCCUAGGCAAUCCUGGUCCUUCGUGUACCCAACCAUACCACCCAUGAGUCCCAAACAACCUCAACAACUAAAUAAAUCCUAAUCUGAGACCACACUGAGGUCUCAGAACCUUGAAAACCCCUCCUUGAAUUCUCAAGAUGGUUGUACAUCACCCUAGAAGGUUUGGAACCCUAUGGAAGAGGUCAAGAAUCAGUGAAAUGGUCCAAAUUGCACAUGCAUAAGAAAAGCUAAGUUCUCUGUAUAUUAUCAUUUCUUUAGCUGUUAAAUGUUUGGUAUAGGUUCAGUAGUUACAUGCCUAAUAGUUUGAAGUCCUUUAGUUUGAUUUAUUUCGCUUGUUUGCCUGUUUGUCCACAAUUUCAUCUGAAAUAUGUUUCAAUAUUCAUAUGCUUUGUUUGACACUGGCCUGGAAGUCUCUUCGUCUCUUGAAUAAUUGCAUAUCCUGUUAAUAUCAGCUCCUUGAUCUUGGAAACAUAGUUAAUUCUUCAGUAUUGUUAUUUUGAUGGCUUAAUUGACAUAUAUCUUCUGAUUCUUCACUCAUUUUACUCUAUGAUUUCUCGUUCUCCCCUAAGUAUUUGAUUGAUAUAAUGAUUUUGAUUUUUCGGUAUUGAUAUUGGUUUAAGCUGAUUUGGGGAUUUGAACUUUAAUUCUUCAGUGGUAGCCUUUACUUGCUUUCUAAGCUGAUUCAUGAACUAAAUACCCACCGCUUGCUGUGUACUUCUUGUUUUUAAGUAUUGUUGAGUAGUUUGAUUGAGCUAUUUCUGAAAGUUAAUUGUUGAUAGUUGUAUUCGUUCUUCUUGUUGUUUUGAUCCUUUGUUCUGAUAAUCAUGUAUAAUAUUUGGAUGUGAAAGUCUACAUUAAGGCAUUUGUGUUGAACCUUGAUAAUUUUAGCUGAUUUUGAGCUUUUAUGAACCUGUUAGUCUAAGAUUAAAAGGUGACCCAAGUUUGAUUAACCAGGGUCAAUUUUAACUAAACUAGGGUCAAGGAACUGACUAAGGUCAAAACUUCAGGAGGAGGGCGGGGGAAUUUAGGAAAAGAAGUGAGGGUAUAAGAGGGAUUUGAACCUUUAAAAAAUCUGAUAAUAAUAUCUUAGAACCUUCUAGCAAGGACUAAAACAUAAUUCCUACCUCAAACUUGAGGCACAAGUCAGGAAUUGAAGGACCAUUUAAGAAAAGUGCAAAUUUGAAGUAAGGACUUAAUGGAAAAACAAGGGAACAUCUGAUGUCCUAAAGCUCUACUAUAAAAUGAACCAUCUGGGUAUUUUCAAAAAGGAUCCGGAACCUUCUCUUGGAGUCCUAAAGCUAAAAUACAUACUAGUUUCUCCUAUAUUUGAAAAAAUAUUCCAUUACUAUUGUGGAAGUCAUUUUUCUGAAAACUAAGUUCUCUAAAAACUCUGUUGAAGUCCAGGAUGCACUUUUUGAUUGGCUGUUGAUUGCUCAGCUGAUUUGUUGCAUGCACUCAUAGGCUUGUUUUGCUGAAUAAUAGGUACAUUUUCUUGUUCACUUGAUAUAUUGAAGCUCAAAUAUGAAGUAUUCACAACUGUGAAGAUUUGAGUGCAUUAGUUUAUUCAAAACUCUUUUUUUCCCCCUUUUUAGUUCUGAUAUAUGUAAUAAUAAGAUGACCAUAUUGUUGUAAUUAAACUUUUGGACUGACUCAUUUUGUAAUAAUUGGACUUUAGAGACUGAUUUAAUUGUAAUAACUGGACAUUCAAUUUAUUUUUAAGUAUGAAUAUUCAAUAAUGCUCGUAGUUAUUGUAUGGUUGUUCUAGAUAACCAUUUCAUGUUGUUUAGAAAUAAGGAAAUCGUAAAAUAUUGGCUUAGAAGAUAUUAAAAUCAAGUCAUUGUGUAUGAUGAAGUUCACUCAAGUUUCAAUACGUUAGCAGUGUGUUUUUUCAGAUCUAUAAGUUGCAAAUCGAAGUCAUACUUGAAUUUCAAAUAAUUGGAUUAAUUUACUCUGACUGACGAGUACAUGAAUCAUUUGAUUCAGGUCUAAUGUUAAAUUUUGACAUAUAUAAAAAUGAUUGUUAAUAUUUUAUUUUUGAGUGUGCAGAUAUUCAACUUUGUAUAUAAUUUUGAACCAAAACGCUUACUGAGAAUUGGACUCUUUUGUCCAAAUCAACACUGGGCUCAUUCGUGAGGCCUAGUAAGUACCAAAAUGUUGUAAUCCAACAUGUUUUCUGGGAUGGGCGAUUAAAAACCCAAACUUGUCACAAUAGCUACCAGUCAAAUCCUGAGCAAUAUGUGCUCCUAGGGUAGGCCAAAGUUGAUUUAUGACGUGCAAUUUGCCAAGUACACAGUCUAUGCAUAAAUAAUUACUGCAUUUAAACACUAGCUAUAGUAGAGAAUCUAGUAUACAUUAGAACAUCUUAAAAUAAGUGUAGCCACGUUAGUCUCAUCAAAUAUUAUGUAAUAGCACCUUAAUUCAUUAAAACACAAAGAAAAAUAGGAAGUGCCGUUUAGCGAAUUUCACGGCCUUCCUACAGAUCUCAAAGACGUAGUUGUUAUAGGCGCGCGUGUUUAAUAAUAAUACCUUCCUAAAUUCGGGUGCGCAUUUAUGUGACCCAAAUCCUAUUCUCAAUGGAAUUAAGUAAUUUCUAGAAUUGCGGAUGCAUUUAUGUGACGCGAUUCGCGACGUGCUUUAUUAACAUUGCAAAUUUUUCUAAAAGCUGUUAAAAGUGGAUAAUAAUCUAAAAUUACAGGUUAACAGGUAUAGCAAAUUAUAUUUUAGCCACUUAUAAUGAGUAAGCGACCGUGCUAGAACCACGGGAUCCGAGGGUCCCUAAAACCUUCCCUCGGGUCAACAGAAUUCCGAACUGAAGAAUUUCUGGUACGCAGACUCCAAUCGGGUAGUUGAAAUUUCCUCGAUUUGGGAUUUUAAAUAAAUCGGUGACUUGGGACACCAAAAAGCCAAACCUAUCCCAAAUGGCGACCCUUGAAAUAAUUAAUCCCAUCUCGAAUAAUAUCACUUUAAUUGGAAAAACUCCUAUUCCCGAGUCACCUUGUGGGGUAACCACGUGUAAGCGGAAAAAGGAGGUCUGACAUUGGAAUUUGCACACUGUGUUCAGGGAGUAAAGUGAGUAUUCCAACUUAGUGAAUAAGAAUAAAUGCAAAUUGAGUAAUAAGAAAUCAUGUAAGCUACAUUGAUAUGAGAUAUCAAUCCAUCUCGAGGGGCCAUAAGGGGCACCUCCACGCUCACUAGGGAUGUACAGACUCCUUGAGGUGCCCCUUAUAGCCCAAGCACAAUAUCAAUCCAUCUCGUGGCAUUAUCAACAAGGCCUCGGCCUAUAUAAAAAGCCACAUCAGGGCAUAAAAUCUCAAGCCCUUGGUCACAUAAUCAUAAUCAGUGUAUCACUACUGAUUCAUGUAGCCCGACCCAAAAGUAUCCUCAAAACACAAGCCCUCGGCCUUACCCAAUUAGAAUAUCAGAAGCCACUCUACCAAUAGAAAAACUUUAUGCUCAACCCAAAUAUCAUUUGAAAAUAUCAUUUAAUGUAUUAAAACAGAGAAACAUGGUUGAGUUAUGAAACUGUAGAAUAUAGUAUGACUGAGUGCAAGUACAAAGUCAAUCCAGUGAGGAAAUAUCAGUAAAAAUCCCUUAAGGGUCCAAAUAGCUGGCAUGAGGCCCAAACUUGGCAUUCAACCUAAAACAUGAUGAUAAAAAUGGUUUUAAAUCAAAUACGUGGUAAAAUAGUCAUUUGGGAUGGACUAAGUCACAAUCCUCAACAGUGCACGACCCCACGCUUGUCAUCUAGCGUGCGCUUCACCUCAAUAUAGCAGAACAAUGUGAAAUCCGGGGUUUCAUACAGUCAAGACAACAUUUAAGGUUAUUACUAACCUCAAUUAGGCCCAAACUCUAGCUCGCAAUGCCUUUGCCCCUCAAAUCGGCCUCUAGAUGCUCCAAAUUUAGGCAAAAUCAGAACGUAACCAUCAGAAUAUGCUUAGGGGAUGAAUCCCACUCGAAAACAAUAAAAACAACGUAGAUCCCGAAAUUAUCAAAACCCGAACCCCAGUCCCACAUCUCGGAAUUCGAUAAAUUUUACAUCAUUAGACUCCUUAUCUCCCCAUGAGUUUAUAAAUAUAAAAAUUACCAAAAUCUAACCCCUUUCACACCUCCUUUUUUACAAUACCCCAUAAGAGGUAUAUAAAGGGAGUUUUUUUACAAUUUAUGUGAUAAUCGAUACGUGAUUAUUUUAUUUAAUAUUUAGAGUCACCACUUGGGAUAAUUUAUGGUGUCCUAAGUCACCGGUUCAAAUCCCAAAUCGAGGAAAAGAUUGAUUCUAUUUUACAGUCCGCCAACACAAAAAUCCAAGUAAGGAAUUUUGUUUACCUGGGAGAAGGUGUUAGGCAUUCCCGAGCUCUGUGGUUCUGGCACGGUCGCUCAACUAUUAUUAUUUUCCAAAUUAUUAGAUUCUAAAACACUUUCAACCCUAUGUGCAUUUGAACUUUAAAAGCACUUUUAAUUAUUUUAAGGAAAAUUUCGACGCCAUCAAAAACACGUCUUUGGACAACGUCACAUGAAAUUCACCCGCAGCCCGAGAUAUAUUUUAUUUAAUAUUGUUCAGAUUUGGAUUUAGGUCACAUGAAAUGCACACCCGAGUUUAGGAAAGUAAUUUUAAAUUACGCGCCCAAAGUAACUACUCAUUUUACACUUUGCGAGGGCCAUGCAAAUUUUGCUAAAUGGCCCGCCUCGAAUUCUAAGGAUUGAAAAGAAAUUAUUAAAUGUGGCCCAUGCAUCUUGAGGUUCUUAUUUGGUAUGAUACACCUCAUUUUUAAUUUUCUUUUUUAAAGUUAAUUUAGUCAAUUAAGGAAAGCAUGCGGAACUUCUACUUAUUCAAAUGAAAUUUCAAUCCUACUAACUGAUUAGCAAAUAUCAAAUUAAAGGGCCAAUUAACUCAUUAUCAAAUUUCUCUAACUAGUAAGCCACGAAUCAAACUCAUUCUAGCUGCUUUCAAGCUUGAGCCCAGUGAGCCGAAUUCCCAAUGGGGGAAGAUGGUCAAGUCCCAGAAUGCGACGUUGAUUCAAUGAAACCAAACGUCUAUUAUUGGGACAACGUUAGGCUCGAAUUUCAGGAACAACAAUUGUGCCAACUCAAUUAAGAGUAAAUCGAUCAAGAAUGCAUAUCAAACAAACAAGACAUUGGACUAAUCAAAUAAUCCUGCAUUUUUAUUUACUAGUCCAAAUUAACUAAACAAAAUAUCAAACUUUAUUUUCUGCAUAAAUUUAGAACCGGGUUUGCUAUAUGAAAAUCCCAGCAAUAACACCUUGAAUUAUUGGGCUCAAGAGACAAUCCCAUUGGUUCUAUAUUGCGGACUGGCCAACUUACUUCAUCAAAUCAGCCUCAAACACUAAGUACCACUGAAUCGACUAAAUACUUCAAUGAAAGGAAUGCAUGGCUUCUUUUAACACAUUGCAGCCAUGAUAUGUAUACCUAUUACUAGUUCCUAGCUCUCCAUCAAUGCUCGACAAUUUUCAGAAAACUUAGUGAAUUCGGUACAUCCAAAUACCAUAUCGCAUUUAUUCAGAAACCCAAACCAGCACUCAAAAUAUAUGCAAGUGGUUACAAAUAUACUAAGAUCAGUACUCAUGUUCGACUCUUGAGCCUUAUACUUAUAUCGAAAUAAAACAGUCACACUCAAUUCAGUGGCACUAAUCUUCCAUUACACCAUACUUAAGGCAUGUGAAGACUCAAAAUAACGUGCAUAACUCUAAACUACUACAAAUGUAUUUCUUAAAAUAGAAGAAAACAAAAAAAAUCACAGCUCAAAGUAAUUUUGUAUUCAGUCAAGUUUCCACUAAAUAAUUCAUUGAUACAGUCAUUUGCUAUUCGUAGCUUGUAGAAAUACGUAGAAAAUAAAAGCAAAAAGGGUGAAAUCAAUAGUAAGUAGCAGUAGAGCACAACCCCAACAAUAGAAAAAUAACCAGCAAAAAUUAACUUCGAGCCAAUAGAUGCAUCGCAGACUAAAUCCCCAUCUCAAUAAAGUUUUAAUAGCCAACAACAAAACUUCAGCUCAACUUUAAAGAUCAAAACUCAAUCCAAUUCAACCAAAAUACAUGACCUUAUCAUUUUUUGGUAAUUUCAACUGAGCCAUGAGCAUCAGGAAACUAAAACCAGCAAAAUAUUUAGCAGUUUUCAACCAGAAGUGUAGACAAAUCAGAGUAUAGCCGUUUCAGUUUUUUCUUGGAUUUUUAUCUCUUAUAAUACUGACUUUAAUAGCAAGUCAUGAUGCCUUUGUAGACAGCGCACUAGGGAAGUUUAAAGAUAUCAGUCUUUGCAUUUUGCCCUUUUUAGAAUUUUUCUUUAUAUCUCAGAUACCCUUAGUUAAAAAACUAAAAAUUAAAAACAGCCCCCUCCCCAUCUUCCUAGAAGCUUCAUCAAUUAGAUAUAUAAGAUUUCGUUAGUUAGUUACCCAGAUUACCCCUUAAAUUCCCAUGUUAUUACCCUACUGACAAAUUCAUGGGUCAAUUCCUAUCCACUUAAACGCUAAAAUGAACAGGUUGUUUUUGCACAAACGGGUCAUAGCCAGACCCAAUCCAAAACAACACAACUGUCCAAUUAGCAAACGGUAAGCAUAAAGUAACACACAUGCUGAAAUGGUUUUAACAGUUAAAAAUUUAGACUAAUAUGACUUACUAACUAUAAUUAACCAAGCUGACAAAAUGUGAACUAAGUUGACUUACGGACUAAAUAAACUAAUUAAGAAAUGGAUUCAGAAACUACUCAUACAUGAACAAAUGACUCCGAAAAAAUAAAAAGGAUUCAAGAAAAUGAGAAGAAGCAGAAACAUAGAGAAACAAAGAAAAACUGAAGAAAAGAUAACAAAAGAAAAAGGAGAAUACCUAAAAGUUCCUCGGACAAUAGAAGUGGUGAUGAAUCUUCAAACCAUCAUAUUUUUGGCUCAAUCUGAGAUUAUCAUGUGCUUUUCAUCAAAACACUCGAAUAAAAUCAAAAUGAACCUAAAUUUUCAAAGAAAUCUUGAAUUGGAAAACUUGGGAUUUUAGGGUAAAGCUUUGAUUUAAUAUUCGAGAAUCUUGACGAUGAUUUGAAGGAAGUGAUUUAGGGAUAUGGGAUGGGGAGAUGAAGGGGAUUCUAGGAUAUAAUUUUGAAACAUAUUGGGGUUGUUUAGGGCUGCGCCGCCAUCGGAAGUAAUGGUGGGUUUCAGGGCGGUGGCUCUAGGGAAUUUUCUUGAAGGAGACGAGGGGAACUAGUGUGCGGGUUGGAAGAUAGGGGGUCUCAUAUUCAGACACCUAAAUAAUUAAGAGAACCUAGUUCUGAUCUGUUGGAUCAAUGGGAUCCAAUGGCUAAGAUGAGAAUGAACUAGAA
rnacentral:lncRNA from 1 species